rnacentral:rRNA from 1 species
ACCUACGGGAGGCAGCAGUGGGGAAUAUUGCACAAUGGGCGCAAGCCUGAUGCAGCAACGCCGUGUGAGUGAAGAAGGUUUUCGGAUCGUAAAACUCUGUCCUAAGGGAAGAAACAAAUGACGGUACCUUAGGAGGAAGCCCCGGCUAACUACGUGCCAGCAGCCGCGGUAAUACGUAGGGGGCAAGCGUUAUCCGGAAUCACUGGGCGUAAAGGGUGCGUAGGCGGCUUAGCAAGCCAGGGGUGAAAGGCAUUGGCUCAACCAAUGUAAGCCUUUGGAACUGUUAAGCUUGAGUGCAGGAGAGGUAAGUGGAAUUCCUAGUGUAGAGGUGAAAUUCGUAGAUAUUAGGAGGAACACCAGUGGCGAAGGCGACUUACUGGACUGUAACUGACGCUGAUGCACGAAAGCGUGGGUAGCGAACAGGAUUAGAUACCCUGGUAGCACAGAG